UCCAGACUCCUACGGGAGGCAGCAGUGGGGGAUAUUGCACAAUGGGGGGAACCCUGAUGCAGCGACGCCGCGUGGGUGAAGGAGCGUUUCGGCGCGUAAAGCCCUCUCGGCAGGGAAGAAGGAGGACGGUACCUGACUAAGAAGCCCCGGCUAACUACGUGCCAGCAGCCGCGGUAAUACGUAGGGGGCAAGCGUUAUCCGGAUUUACUGGGUGUAAAGGGGGCGCAGACGGCAGCGCAAGCCAGGAGUGAAAGCCCGGGGCCCAACCCCGGGACUGCUCUUGGAACUGCGCGGCUGGAGUGCAGGAGGGGCAGGCGGAAUUCCUGGUGUAGCGGUGAAAUGCGUAGAUAUCAGGAGGAGCACCGGUGGCGAAGGCGGCCUGCUGGACUGCGACUGACGUUGAGGCCCGAAAGCGUGGGGAGCAAACAGGAUUAGAUACCCCAGUA
rnacentral:rRNA from 1 species